CGGUUUAGGGCUAUCGAUAGUUAGUCAAGUUGCAUUUUAGAGCCGCCAGAACUUAGAGAUAUUUGUGUCAGGAAUCUCGUGAAUGUGUAAUUCGGGCACACUAAAUCAUGUAAAGUUAUGCUUAAUUUUGGCGGAUAGUAUUACUACGAUUUGAGCAUCACACUGAGUGGGAAGGGAAACUGCGAAUAAAACAUAAGACCCAAAUACUCUGUUUGUUAUCGAA
rnacentral:sRNA from 1 species